rnacentral:rRNA from 1 species
AGAGUUUGAUCAUGGCUCAGAUUGAACGCUGGCGGCAUGCCUUACACAUGCAAGUCGAACGGCAGCAUGAUGUGUAGCAAUACACGUUGAUGGCGAGUGGCGAACGGGUGAGUAAUAUAUCGGAACGUGUCCCGUAGCGGGGGAUAACCUAUCGAAAGAUGGACUAAUACCGCAUACGCUCUACGGAGGAAAGCGGGGGUCGCAAGACCUCGCACUAGGGGAGCGGCCGAUAUCGGAUUAGCUAGUUGGCGGGGUAAAAGCCCACCAAGGCGACGAUCCGUAGCUGGUCUGAGAGGAUGAUCAGCCACACUGGAACUGAGACACGGUCCAGACUCCUACGGGAGGCAGCAGUGGGGAAUUUUGGACAAUGGGCGCAAGCCUGAUCCAGCCAUGCCGCGUGAGUGAAGAAGGCCUUCGGGUUGUAAAGCUCUUUCGGCAGGAACGAAAUGGUUCGUGUUAAUACCACGGACUGAUGACGGUACCUGAAGAAGAAGCACCGGCUAACUACGUGCCAGCAGCCGCGGUAAUAC